CAGUGUUACAGCUCUUUUAGAAUUUGUCUAGCAGGUUUUCUGGCUAAUUGCUGGAAAACCCCU
ensembl:snRNA U7 U7 small nuclear RNA